rnacentral:rRNA from 1 species
GACGAACGCUGGCGGCGUGCUUAACACAUGCAAGUCGAACGGUAAGGCCCUUCGGGGUACACGAGUGGCUAACGGGUGAGUAACACGUGGGUGAUCUGCCCGUCACUUCGGGAUAAGCCUGGGAAACUGGGUCUAAUACCGGAUAGGACCACUGCCUGCAUGGGUGGUGGUGGAAAGCUUUUGCGGUGUGGGAUGGGCCCGCGGCCUAUCAGCUUGUUGGUGGGGUGAUGGCCUACCAAGGCGACGACGGGUAGCCGGCCUGAGAGGGUGACCGGCCACACUGGGACUGAGAUACGGCCCAGACUCCUACGGGAGGCAGCAGUGGGGAAUAUUGCACAAUGGGCGCAAGCCUGAUGCAGCGACGCCGCGUGAGGGAUGACGGCCUUCGGGUUGUAAACCUCUUUCAGCACCGACGAAGCGCAAGUGACGGUAGGUGCAGAAGAAGGACCGGCCAACUACGUGCCAGCCGCCGCAGUAA